UCACUGGUGGUUAAGUGGUAGAAUUCUCGCCUUCCGUGUGGGAGAUCUGAGUUUGAUUCCCAGCUGAUGCA
rnacentral:tRNA from 1 species